rnacentral:tRNA from 1 species
GCUGGUAUGCCCGAGAGGUCCAAGGGACUACACUUAAGAUGUAGCGUGUUAAAUCACUCGUGGGUUCGAACCCCACUGCCAGCA